CAAAGGCUUGGUCCUGACUUUACUAUCAACUUUAAUUAAAUUUACACAUGCAAGUAUCCGCAUCCCCGUGAAAAUGCCCAUAGUUUUCUUUUUGAAAACAAGGAGAUGGUAUCAGGCACAAUACAUUUUAGCCCACAACACCAUGCCCGGCCACACCCCCAAGGGAAUUCAGCAGUGAUAAAUAUUAAGCAAUGAGCGAAAGCUUGACUUAGUUAUAAUAUAUUAGAGCCGGCAAAACUCGUGCCAGCCGCCGCGGUUAUACGAGAGACUCAAGUUGAUAGCUAUCGGCGUAAAACGUGAUUAAAGAAUUAAUUAACUAAAGUGGAAUAUUUUCAAAACUGUUAUACGUAUGUGAGAAUAAGAAAAACCCCUACGAAAGUGACUUUAAGCUACUUGAUACACGAAAGCUGUGACACAAACUGGGAUUAGAUACCCCACUAUGCUCAGCCUUAAACUUUAAUAGAAUAUUACAUUUUCUAUUUGCCAGGGAACUACUAGCAUAAGCUUAAAACCCAAAGGACUUGGCGGUGCUUUAGACCCACCUAGAGGAGCCUGUUCUAUAACCGAUAACCCCCGUUAAACCUCACCUUCUCUUGUUAUUUCCGCCUAUAUACCGCCGUCGUCAGCUUACCCUGUGAAGGCAUACUAGUAAGCAAAAUUGAUUUUAUCCAAAACGUCAGGUCGAGGUGUAGCAUAUGAGAAGGAAAGAAAUGGGCUACAUUUUUUAACUUAAAAAAUACGGAAAUUGUAAUGAAACAACAAUUUAAGGAGGAUUUAGCAGUAAGCGUAAGAAUAGAGAGCUACGCUGAAACUGGCCCUGAAGCGCGCACACACCGCCCGUCACUCUCCCUGAACCUUUAAUACCUUAUUCAUAAACCAAAUUUCGGACAAAAGGGAGGCAAGUCGUAACAUGGUAAGUGUACCGGAAGGUGUACUUGGCUUAAU
rnacentral:ncRNA from 1 species